rnacentral:rRNA from 1 species
CCUACGGGUGACAGCAGUGAGGAAUAUUGGUCAAUGGGCGCGAGCCUGAACCAGCCAAGUAGCGUGAAGGAUGACUGCCCUACGGGUUGUAAACUUCGUUUAUAAAGGAAUAAAGUGAGUCACGUGUUCCUCUUUGUAUUUACUUUAUGAAUAAGGAUCGGCUAACUCCGCGCCAGCAGCCGCGGUAAUACGGAGGAUCCGAGCGUUAUCCGGAUUUAUUGGGUUUAAAGGGAGCGUAGAUGGGUUGUUAAGUCAGUUGUGAAAGUUUGCGGCUCAACCGUAAAAUUGCAUUUGAUACUGGCAGUCUUGAGUACAGUUGAGGUAGGCGGAAUUCGUGGUGUAGCGGUGAAAUGCUUAGAUAUCACGAAGAACUCCGAUUGCGAAGGCAGCUUACUAAACUGCAACUGACAUUGAUGCUCGAAAGUGUGGGUAUCAAACAGGAUUAGAUACCCUAGUAGUC